GCAUAUCAAUAAGCGGAGGAAAAGAAACCAAACAGGGAUUGCCCCAGUAACGGCGAGUGAAGCGGCAACAGCUCAAAUUUGAAAUCUGGCCCUCGGGUCCGAGUUGUAAUUUGCAGAGGAUGCUUUUGGUGAGGUGCCUUCCGAGUUCCCUGGAACGGGACGCCAUAGAGGGUGAGAGCCCCGUCUGGUCGGACACCAAUCCUAUGUAAAGCUCCUUCGACGAGUCGAGUAGUUUGGGAAUGCUGCUCUAAAUGGGAGGUAUAUGUCUUCUAAAGCUAAAUACCGGCCAGAGACCGAUAGCGCACAAGUAGAGUGAUCGAAAGAUGAAAAGCACUUUGAAAAGAGAGUUAAACAGUACGUGAAAUUGUUGAAAGGGAAGCGCUCAUGACCAGACUUGGGCUUGGUUGAUCAACCUGGGUUCUCCCGGGUGCACUCUUCCUCGUCCAGGCCAGCAUCAGUUCGCUGCGGGGGAUAAAGGUUUCGGGAAUGUGGCUCCCUCGGGAGUGUUAUAGCCCGUUGCGUAAUACCCUGCGGUGGACUGAGGUCCGCGUUCUGCAAGGAUGCUUGGCGUAAUGGUCAUCAGCGACCCGUCUUGAAACACGGACCAAGGAGUCGUCUUCGUAUGCGAGUGUUCGGGUGUUAAACCCCUACGCGGAAUGAAAGUGAACGCAGGUGAGAGCUUCGGCGCAUCAUCGACCGAUCCUGAUGUUCUCGGAUGGAUUUGAGUAAGAGCAUAC
rnacentral:rRNA from 1 species